rnacentral:rRNA from 1 species
CCUACGGGAGGCAGCAGUGGGGAAUAUUGGACAAUGGGGGGAACCCUGAUCCAGCCAUGCCGCGUGUGUGAAGAAGGCCCUCGGGUUGUAAAGCACUUUCAGUGAGGAAGAACGCCUGGUGGUUAAUACCCAUCAGGAAAGACAUCACUCACAGAAGAAGCACCGGCUAACUCCGUGCCAGCAGCCGCGGUAAUACGGAGGGUGCGAGCGUUAAUCGGAAUUACUGGGCGUAAAGCGCGCGUAGGUGGCUUGAUAAGCCGGUUGUGAAAGCCCCGGGCUCAACCUGGGAACGGCAUCCGGAACUGUCAAGCUAGAGUGCAGGAGAGGAAGGUAGAAUUCCCGGUGUAGCGGUGAAAUGCGUAGAGAUCGGGAGGAAUACCAGUGGCGAAGGCGGCCUUCUGGACUGACACUGACACUGAGGUGCGAAAGCGUGGGUAGCAAACAGGAUAGAUACCCUAGUAGUC